rnacentral:tRNA from 1 species
GCUUCUUCUGGAUAGCUCAGUUGGUUAGAGUGUGGUGCUGAUAAUGCCAGGGUUGCAGGAUCGAUUCCCAUAUGGCGUA